rnacentral:rRNA from 1 species
UGCAAGUCGAACGAUGAUGCCCAGCUUGCUGGGCGGAUUAGUGGCGAACGGGUGAGUAAUACGUGAGUAACCUGCCCUUGACUCUGGGAUAAGCCUGGGAAACUGGGUCUAAUACUGGAUACUACCUCUUACCGCAUGGUGGGUGGUGGAAAGGGUUUUACUGGUUUUGGAUGGGCUCACGGCCUAUCAGCUUGUUGGUGGGGUAAUGGCUCACCAAGGCGACGACGGGUAGCCGGCCUGAGAGGGUGACCGGCCACACUGGGACUGAGACACGGCCCAGACUCCUACGGGAGGCAGCAGUGGGGAAUAUUGCACAAUGGGCGGAAGCCUGAUGCAGCGACGCCGCGUGAGGGAUGACGGCCUUCGGGUUGUAAACCUCUUUCAGUAGGGAAGAAGCGAGAGUGACGGUACCUGCAGAAGAAGCGCCGGCUAACUACGUGCCAGCAGCCGCGGUAAUACGUAGGGCGCAAGCGUUGUCCGGAAUUAUUGGGCGUAAAGAGCUCGUAGGCGGUUUGUCGCGUCUGCUGUGAAAGCCCGGGGCUCAACCCCGGGUCUGCAGUGGGUACGGGCAGACUAGAGUGCAGUAGGGGAGACUGGAAUUCCUGGUGUAGCGGUGAAAUGCGCAGAUAUCAGGAGGAACACCGAUGGCGAAGGCAGGUCUCUGGGCUGUUACUGACGCUGAGGAGCGAAAGCAUGGGGAGCGAACAGGAUUAGAUACCCUGGUAGUCCAUGCCGUAACGUUGGGCACUAGGUGUGGGGGACAUUCCACGUUUUCCGCGCCGUAGCUAACGCAUUAAGUGCCCCGCCUGGGGAGUACGGCCGCAAGGCUAAAACUCAAAGGAAUUGAC